rnacentral:rRNA from 1 species
AUACGGAGGGUGCAAGCGUUGUUCGGAAUUAUUGGGCGUAAAGCGCGUGUAGGCGGCUUGGAAAGUCGGGUGUGAAAGCCCGGGGCUCAACCCCGGAAUUGCAUUCGAAACUUCCUCGCUAGAGUCUCGGAGAGGAGGGCGGAAUUCCCGGUGUAGAGGUGAAAUUCGUAGAUAUCGGGAGGAACACCAGUGGCGAAGGCGGCCCUCUGGACGAUGACUGACGCUGAGAUGCGAAAGCGUGGGGAGCAAACAGGAUUAGAUACCCCAGUAGUCC